rnacentral:rRNA from 1 species
AUUGAACGCUGGCGGAAUGCUUUACACAUGCAAGUCGAACGGCAGCACGGACUUCGGUCUGGUGGCGAGUGGCGAACGGGUGAGUAAUACAUCGGAACGUGCCCAAUCGUGGGGGAUAACGUAGCGAAAGCUACGCUAAUACCGCAUACGAUCUAAGGAUGAAAGCGGGGGAUCGCAAGACCUCGCGCGAUUGGAGCGGCCGAUGGCAGAUUAGGUAGUUGGUAGGGUAAAGGCCUACCAAGCCGACGAUCUGUAGUUGGUCUGGGAGGAUGAUCAGCCACACUGGGACUGAGACACGGCCCAGACUCCUACGGGAGGCAGCAGUGGGGAAGUUUGGACAAUGUGCGCAAGUCUGAUCCAGCCAUUCCGCGUGCAGGAUGAAGGCCCUCGGGUUGUAAACUGCUUUUGUACAGAACGAAAAGGCUCUGGUUAAUACCUAGGGCUCAUGACGGUACUGUAAGAAUAAGCACCGGCUAACUACGCGCCAGCCGCCGCCGUAA